AGCUGAUUUUUUACCUCUGACGAGGGGUUUCUAUUGUAUUUGGAAUCGCGUAUUGCGGGAUGGAUAUUACGAUUUAUGUAAGUGUUCAUCAGGAUGCUGAACUUCAAGUUCCAUGACAGAUACUUCCUUGCGGAUGUACUGGUCGUUUCGGACGUUCUAUCAUGAGUCUAGUGCCUGCAGUACGCAUACGCGUUAGCGCCGAGACCGCUGGAGCGGAUAUUUCAUAGAGCCCGAACGGCUUUGCCAUACGACUGGGGCGGGGGGUGUUGGCCCAAGGCAUGAUUCACUGGACAUCGGGGUCGGAGCGUAGAAUCAUUCUGGGAGCGUGCAAGCUGUGCAGACGCACUGCCUGUGGCAGCAGCGCGAAGCGAUAUACAAGGAGUACACUGCGACCAGGGCGAUGCCCAGACGCUGGCUAACUGCUCGAAAUCCCAGAAUAAGCGGCGUUUCUGACGAGUUGCCCAGGUCUCAAUAAAGCUCCUGCAACUGGGGGCCUGAAGCACAAGCCUGGCAGGCUCGUGCGACUCGCGGGACCUUACGUCCAGAAGGUAAACUCUCGACGAUACGGAAACCUUUGCCCCCUUUUAUCGUUUGUCGUAGAGGGGCAAAGAAAAUGUUAUCUCGCUACUAGUUUGUAACUAGUCUCUGUCCUUUUGGGUAUAUCAUGCGCUCGAUACGCGCACCUCCAUAUCUGGCAGUCACAAGACCUGACGUGUAUCGCGCCGAUGAAGGGAAACGCGAUCCUGAUCAUGAGCGUGUAGCUCCAACGUACAGGACGCAUUUGCGUUGAGGUCAUGCGAAAGUAUAGUAUUUCAUCCCAGAUGAGUUUCGACCCUCAAUGGAGUGUAUUCAAGUGAUUUUUCGCGGUUUAUAGUAGUAGCGUUCAAAGAGCAUUCUUUUCCAAAAACAAAAAAUCCAAGGGACAGGUAUCGACCUGGAUGUUGGGAAUCCUUAAGGGCCAUCAUCGUCGAAUUCGACGAAGAAUAACCGAAGAAGAAAUCCUCUUUUCGUCGACUAUCGAGCGAACAUGAGCGAACGAUGCGGACGAAGAAGACCGAGAAUGGAUGUAGGCGAGAAAGUGUGUGCCCGACGAGACGAUGACGAGACUGUAGUGGCACAGAGGGCGCGGGUUCUGGGAAUCCUUGGAAAAUUGCGUUCAGCCAGAGGCAAUAAACGUAUGGUGCUCGUGAACCGAGACUUUAACGCCGUCAUCAAUAUCAGACGAUGGGCGGUGCUGAAGACGAGACACGAGGAGCUUACGCGAUCUAGCUUUGUGGAGUAGCCUCUCAUGGGCGAUGUGUACAGGGAGAAGCUGAAACCGAUAGCAGGUCGCCUGUGUAGAUAGGCUGGGAGGCGUCUGCACGUGGGUGUCAGUUUACGAUCUCGAGGCGACGCCUCCAGUGGUGCGGAAAGGCCGUUCUGUCUGCGCUAAUGCGAGACGCGUGGUGGUUACCUGGGCCCUGCUUUUCCCUUAUAGGCUAUUACGUGAGCCCUUGGGCACCUUCAGCACAGAAACGUUUCCAGUCUGCAACGUGGCGGGAUAAGCGAGUCGAGCUCGGAGCGCUCCGUGUACAAUCACGCUGUCUCCUUUCGCAAGUUACGAUGCGUACCUGUUUCGCGGCUGGAUUUUUGGCACCAAAAGCGCUGUAGGUACCGGGUUCAGGUACAGUUCCAUCUCGCCAGAUGCUGUUGGUGUCGAAGGAUCGGCUUCAGGAGGAGGUAAGCGUCCGGCAUUGCGUACCAAGAGGUCUGCGACGAGGCGUUCAUCGCGCAGUUCGUCGCAUCAGCAGGCGGGCACUGCUUGUAAUCGACUGCCUGAGCGCUUCAUUGAGACGAUUCAUAAAAGCCAUCGUCGC
rnacentral:misc_RNA from 1 species